AGAGUUUGAUCCUGGCUCAGAGCGAACGCUGGCGGCAGGCCUAACACAUGCAAGACGAACGAACUCUUCGGAGUUAGUGGCGGACGGGUGAGUAACACGUGGGAACGUGCCUUUAGGUUCGGAAUAACUCAGGGAAACUUGUGCUAAUACCGAAUGUGCCCUUCGGGGGAAAGAUUUAUCGCCUUUAGAGCGGCCCGCGUCUGAUUAGCUAGUUGGUGAGGUAAAGGCUCACCAAGGCGACGAUCAGUAGCUGGUCUGAGAGGAUGAUCAGCCACAUUGGGACUGAGACACGGCCCAAACUCCUACGGGAGGCAGCAGUGGGGAAUCUUGCGCAAUGGGCGAAAGCCUGACGCAGCCAUGCCGCGUGAAUGAUGAAGGUCUUAGGAUUGUACAAUUCUUUCACCGGGGACGAUAAUGACGGUACCCGGAGAAGAAGCCCCGGCUAACUUCGU
rnacentral:rRNA from 1 species